GCAAGUCGUACGCUUCUUUUUCCACCGGAGCUUGCUCCACCGGAAAAAGAGGAGUGGCGAACGGGUGAGUAACACGUGGGUAACCUGCCCAUCAGAAGGGGAUAACACUUGGAAACAGGUGCUAAUACCGUAUAACAAUCGAAACCGCAUGGUUUUGAUUUGAAAGGCGCUUUCGGGUGUCGCUGAUGGAUGGACCCGCGGUGCAUUAGCUAGUUGGUGAGGUAACGGCUCACCAAGGCCACGAUGCAUAGCCGACCUGAGAGGGUGAUCGGCCACAUUGGGACUGAGACACGGCCCAAACUCCUACGGGAGGCAGCAGUAGGGAAUCUUCGGCAAUGGACGAAAGUCUGACCGAGCAACGCCGCGUGAGUGAAGAAGGUUUUCGGAUCGUAAAACUCUGUUGUUAGAGAAGAACAAGGAUGAGAGUAACUGUUCAUCCCUUGACGGUAUCUAACCAGAAAGCCACGGCUAACUACGUGCCAGCAGCCGCGGUAAUACGUAGGUGGCAAGCGUUGUCCGGAUUUAUUGGGCGUAAAGCGAGCGCAGGCGGUUUCUUAAGUCUGAUGUGAAAGCCCCCGGCUCAACCGGGGAGGGUCAUUGGAAACUGGGAGACUUGAGUGCAGAAGAGGAGAGUGGAAUUCCAUGUGUAGCGGUGAAAUGCGUAGAUAUAUGGAGGAACACCAGUGGCGAAGGCGGCUCUCUGGUCUGUAACUGACGCUGAGGCUCGAAAGCGUGGGGAGCAAACAGGAUUAGAUACCCUGGUAGUCCACGCCGUAAACGAUGAGUGCUAAGUGUUGGAGGGUUUCCGCCCUUCAGUGCUGCAGCUAACGCAUUAAGCACUCCGCCUGGGGAGUACGACCGCAAGGUUGAAACUCAAAGGAAUUGACGGGGGCCCGCACAAGCGGUGGAGCAUGUGGUUUAAUUCGAAGCAACGCGAAGAACCUUACCAGGUCUUGACAUCCUUUGACCACUCUAGAGAUAGAGCUUCCCCUUCGGGGGCAAAGUGACAGGUGGUGCAUGGUUGUCGUCAGCUCGUGUCGUGAGAUGUUGGGUUAAGUCCCGCAACGAGCGCAACCCUUAUUGUUAGUUGCCAUCAUUCAGUUUGGGCACUCUAGCAAGACUGCCGGUGACAAACCGGAGGAAAGGUGGGGAUGACGUCAAAUCAUCAUGCCC
rnacentral:rRNA from 1 species